rnacentral:rRNA from 1 species
GUAGGGAAUAUUGGGCAAUGGUCGGAAGACUGACCCAGCCAUGCCGCGUGCAGGAAGACGGCCCUCUGGGUUGUAAACUGCUUUUAUCUGGGAAGAAAAAGGCCAUGCGUGGCAAAUUGCCGGUACCAGAUGAAUAAGCACCGGCUAACUCCGUGCCAGCAGCCGCGGUAAUACGGAGGGUGCGAGCGUUGUCCGGAUUUAUUGGGUUUAAAGGGUGCGUAGGCGGCUGAUUAAGUCAGCGGUGAAAGACUUCGGCUUAACCGGAGCAGUGCCGUUGAUACUGGUUGGCUUGAGUGUCGGAGGGGUACAUGGAAUUGAUGGUGUAGCGGUGAAAUGCAUAGAUACCAUCAGGAACACCGAUAGCGAAGGCAUUGUACUGGCCGACAACUGACGCUGAUGCACGAAAGUGUGGGGAUCGAACAGGAUUAGAUACCCCGGUAGUCCC